rnacentral:lncRNA from 1 species
GUUGUGGAGCUCACCAUGUUAUGAUUGCCAUAGUCACAAUCUUGUGCUCCUGUUUCAGCCUCAGUGACUCCUGUGACAUCCGACAGACUCUGAGCAGCCAAAGCAGCCUGUGAGCACAGUGGCUGUAUUAAAAAAGCUCCACUGUCUGAUACUGUUUGUCACAUGAUAGAAAACUGUAGAGAAGCAAACUUUUCAACAUGAGUCAGUGACUUUAAAGCCACAACAUGAAACUCAAAAUUGAGUCCAACACCAGACUCCUUUUAAACAAAGGCACAACGUCAUUGUGUGAGAUCCUAGACUAAGUUUCACUUUAAUACAAGUGACAGCAGGUGUUUAGCUCUGAAUCUGUGGCUUUUUCAGAAGAUGAGUCUUAUUGUGGAGGAGAAGGAUGAAGCAGAUUCUCCAGGAUCAAGAUGUGCAUCUAUGAAGAACGACUGGUCCAGAUUUGAGCCUCUGUCAUUCAGUUCUGAACCUGGAGCCUCAAAUACAAAAGGUCAGAACCACAAACAAAGAGCAGAACCUCCAGGACCCAGCUGUCUGUCUAUGAAGAGUGACUGGUCCAAAGAAGAGCCUUGGGAGUUCAAUAAUGGAUCUGGAGCCUCAGACUUAAAGUAAGAGCUAGGUUUUACUAGCUCUUACUUUGGGAGAGGGGGGGUCCUUUGUUGCAGUCGAAGGAAGGGCAGAGUGGAC